UGGCUCAGGAUGAACGCUGGCGGUAUGCCUAACACAUGCAAGUCGAACGGUCACUUCGGUGAUAGUGGCGGACGGGUGAGUAACGCGUGAGAAUCUGCCUCUUGGUUGGGGACAACAGUUGGAAACGACUGCUAAUACCCAAUGUGCCGCAAGGUGAAAGAUUUAUUGCCAAGAGAGGAGCUCGCGUCUGAUUAGCUAGUUGGUAGUGUAAGGGACUACCAAGGCAUCGAUCAGUAGCUGGUCUGAGAGGAUGAGCAGCCACACUGGGACUGAGACACGGCCCAGACUCCUACGGGAGGCAGCAGUGGGGAAUUUUCCGCAAUGGGCGAAAGCCUGACGGAGCAAUACCGCGUGAGGGAGGAAGGCUCUUGGGUUGUAAACCUCUUAUCUUAGGGAAGAACACAAUGACGGUACCUAAGGAAUAAGCAUCGGCUAACUCCGUGCCAGCAGCCGCGGUAAUACGGAGGAUGCAAGCGUUAUCCGGAAUUAUUGGGCGUAAAGCGUCCGUAGGUGGUUUUUCAAGUCUGCUGUCAAAGACCGUGGCUUAACCACGGAAAGGCAGUGGAAACUGAGAGACUAGAGUUCGGUAGGGGUAGCGGGAAUUCCCAGUGUAGCGGUGAAAUGCGUGGAUAUUGGGAAGAACAUCGGUGGCGAAGGCGCGCUACUGGACCGAAACUGACACUCAGAGGACGAAAGCUAGGGGAGCGAAAGGGAUUAGAUACCCCUGUAGUCCUAGCUGUAAACGAUGGAAACUAGGUGUGGCUUGUAUCGACCCGAGCCGUGCCGAAGCUAACGCGUUAAGUUUCCCGCCUGGGGAGUACGCACGCAAGUGUGAAACUCAAA
rnacentral:rRNA from 1 species